UACGUAGGGGGCUAGCGUUGUCCGGAAUCAUUGGGCGUAAAGAGCGCGUAGGCGGCCAGAUAAGUCCGGUGUGAAAGUCACAGGCUCAACCUGUGAAUGCCGCUGGAAACUGUCUGGCUCGAGUCCGGGAGGGGCGAGUGGAAUUCCUGGUGUAGCGGUGAAAUGCGCAGAUAUCAGGAGGAACACCAAUGGCGAAGGCAGCUCGCUGGAACGGUACUGACGCUGAGGCGCGAAAGCGUGGGGAGCGAACAGG
rnacentral:rRNA from 1 species